UUCGAGCGUAUAUUUAAGUUGUUGCGGUUAAAAAGUUCGUAGUCGAAUCUUUGACUUGGCGCGGUGUGGGUCCGUCAAUUCGAUGUGUACCUCGCCGACAAGUCACGAGCGACUCAUUGCGCGCGUGCGUGGUUAACUCUGCGCGCGUGUCGUGUGAGUCUUUUUACUGUGAAUAAUUCGGAGUGUUCAAGACAGGCCAACUGGGCCACUGAACGAUCAUGCAUGGGAUAAUAGAAGAGGACCUCGUCUGAUUCUUUUGGUUCAAUCAGCGAAGUAAUGAUUAAGACGAACGGGGGGGGCGCUCCGUAUGCAGCAAGAAGAGGUGAAAUUCUAUGAUUUGCUGCAGACGAACUACUGCGAAGGCAUUGCGCAACAACGUUUNGAUUGA
rnacentral:rRNA from 1 species